rnacentral:tRNA from 1 species
GAGGGUAUAGCUCAGUAGUACAGUACAUGCUUAGCAUGCAUGAGGUCCUGGGUUCAAGCCCCAGUACCUCCA